AGGGCCAUCUUUCAAAUUCACCUUGUUGUCUCCAUUUCUCAGCAACCUCCCGCGCUCUCCCUCUGUGUGCUAAAUUUUGCAGUUCCAAACUCCUCGUUGCAGUUCCAUACUCCUCGCUCACCAUUGAUUCUCGAAUUUCUCCAAUUUCAACCGAGCUGCUGCAUGCACUGUUGUUACUCCGUAGAAGAACAUUGAAAUUUCCGACGACAGCCCUGAUGUUUAAUUCUGUUUCUUCAACCAAUGCUCUCAUGUUAGUUGAAUAGAGUGAAGAAUUUUUACAAAGAGGGAGUGUCACACCAAGGAGAUAGAUGGACUCUAAGGAAGCUGGUUCAUUGCUUGAUAAUCUAAUUGCUGCUUUCAACGGUCGGAUCGCGGAGCUCCAGGAUCUUGUAAUUGCGCGAAACAUGUAUCCGGCAAGUUGUCUCCCUGAUUUGUCAGCAGUUGAUGCAUCAUUGAAGGCGAUGGAAUUGCAGGUGCAGGCGAUCAAGAACCAGUUACGUGAAGAAGCUGAAGCAAUUCCCAAAGCAAAGAAACUUAUUGAAGCAUCUCUGAAGCAGCAGAAGAGAUUAGAAAGCAUGUCCCUUCAUGUUCCCUCUUAUUAUCAGAUUCUGCCUGAAAGAGUUUCUGCAUUGAACUUAAAUACCAGUCUUUGUUCAGAGGCCAAAAAAUCUGGUGCUGAAUUGGGCUCCCGAGAGGCUGAGAAUGCAAUAUCAAUCUUACCUAAGGAGAAGAAAGGUUCCUCUGCCCCACUUUGGUACAUAACCACCGAUGAACUGAAUUCACUGUCUUCAUAUAUGAGAGGAAGAUUAACAGUUGAUAAGGUCAAUGCUGCUGUUAAUGACAUGGCAACAUAUGCUGAAGCAAAUGCCCAGCUUAUUGUCGUCCCGAAGAAGAAGCUGGCAGAGAACCUCUGGGAGAAGGCCCUGGAGCUAAGAGAUAUUGCAGCAACUGACGCAGUGAAAGGAAAAUACUUCUUUCUUGAAACUGACAUGAGAGGACCUUCGUUGAAACUUGACAACACUGGAAAGGCCAUACUAACUGUCCUACGUCACCUUGGACGUAUAAGCGAGACUCGGAUUGGACAUCAGCGAGUAAUUUUACUAUUAAAACCAUCAUAAAUAAUCUUGCAUUUACUUGGACACAAGAUUACCAAGUCUCGCAUCACUGAAAAUCUAGCCUGUAUGAAGAGAAUCAGCUAUACAAUUCCAGCAAUCCGUUUCUCAAAGAUUCAUCAUCAGAGGCGUACAUAAUUGUUUUGGAGAAGGAUGGCUUCCCCAUAACUAUCUCCAAAUGAUGUUGUGGGGCGAACAAGCAUUAUUUUUGGACGGCCGAAGAGUAUUUUGUUUUGGUUAUUGCACUUCAAGAAGUUGCAGAAGCCCUUACUGGAGAGCUGCAAAUGGUUUCAAGAAUAGGUAAUUGCUCAAGAUCCAACAAUUGAUGAUGGAGAAAUUGUCGCAGCCAACGUUACUGCCAUCACUGCAUAUAAAAUCUCGUCUAUGUACAUUGAAGGUUAAAUACAAUGCAUUAGCUAAAUUACUAAUGGAUAAGAGAGUGGGUUUAGCUAAAGUGGUGAUCAAAUGAUGCUAUAGUGUGAGAAGAUUGCAUUCGAUGAAUGGAUGAAGGUAGUGUUGAACGAUUGUGUAUUAUAUCAAUGUGCUCACUGUGUAAACUUCAUUGUCUUCUAUCUUAUGUUUGUAGACUCUCACAUGGAGGCAAGCGGACUAUAUAAAAAAUCAUUUUCACACUACUAUGCUUUAGGAGAGGUUUUUAGGUGAGAUUGUGCAACAUGAUAUAUGCUACUAAUAUAAUUAGAUGAUGAAAAUGAUAUCUGA